AUAGUUUCUCCACCUUUUGGCUAAGAUCAAGUGUAAUAUCUAAUACAUCCUUCAUCCAAGGACAAUAUAUUAAAUGGGUUUUUAGAUUUAGGAGAUGGAAUAGUGGCUUGCUCCAUCUGCUCCACAUGUUGACUUGAUAUCGCAGUACUUCCAGGAAUGUGCACCACCA
rnacentral:snRNA from 1 species